UCAAGAAGUAUUUUGAAAUAAAUGUACCCAAACCUAAUAAAAAUGGGGGGAAAAUAGAAGUCACUGAACUAAGCUGACUGCUUGGGUUAAUGCUUUUGA